rnacentral:rRNA from 1 species
UACGUAGGGAGCAAGCGUUGUCCGGAAUUACUGGGCGUAAAGCGUGCGUAGGUGGUUUGUUAAGUCUGUUGUGAAAGCCCCGGGCUCAACCUGGGAAUGGCAAUGGAUACUGGCAAGCUAGAGUGCGGUAGAGGGUAGUGGAAUUCCCGGUGUAGCGGUGAAAUGCGCAGAUAUCGGGAAGAACACCCGUGGCGAAGGCGGCUCUCUGGGACGGUACUGACGCUGAGACGCGAAAGCGUGGGGAGCGAACAGG